rnacentral:rRNA from 1 species
GAUGAACGCUGGCGGCGUGCCUAAUACAUGCAAGUCGAGCGAACAGACGAGGAGCUUGCUUCUCUGACGUUAGCGGCGGACGGGUGAGUAACACGUGGAUAACCUACCUAUAAGACUGGGAUAACUUCGGGAAACCGGAGCUAAUACCGGAUAAUAUUUUGAACCGCAUGGUUCAAAAGUGAAAGACGGUCUUGCUGUCACUUAUAGAUGGAUCCGCGCUGCAUUAGCUAGUUGGUAAGGUAACGGCUUACCAAGGCAACGAUGCAUAGCCGACCUGAGAGGGUGAUCGGCCACACUGGAACUGAGACACGGUCCAGACUCCUACGGGAGGCAGCAGUAGGGAAUCUUCCGCAAUGGGCGAAAGCCUGACGGAGCAACGCCGCGUGAGUGAUGAAGGUCUUCGGAUCGUAAAACUCUGUUAUUAGGGAAGAACAUAUGUGUAAGUAACUGUGCACAUCUUGACGGUACCUAAUCAGAAAGCCACGGCUAACUACGUGCCAGCAGCCGCGGUAAUACGUAGGUGGCAAGCGUUAUCCGGAAUUAUUGGGCGUAAAGCGCGCGUAGGCGGUUUUUUAAGUCUGAUGUGAAAGCCCACGGCUCAACCGUGGAGGGUCAUUGGAAACUGGAAAACUUGAGUGCAGAAGAGGAAAGUGGAAUUCCAUGUGUAGCGGUGAAAUGCGCAGAGAUAUGGAGGAACACCAGUGGCGAAGGCGACUUUCUGGUCUGUAACUGACGCUGAUGUGCGAAAGCGUGGGGAUCAAACAGGAUUAGAUACCCUGGUAGUCCACGCCGUAAACGAUGAGUGCUAAGUGUUAGGGGGUUUCCGCCCCUUAGUGCUGCAGCUAACGCAUUAAGCACUCCGCCUGGGGAGUACGACCGCAAGGUUGAAACUCAAAGGAAUUGACGGGGACCCGCACAAGCGGUGGAGCAUGUGGUUUAAUUCGAAGCAACGCGAAGAACCUUACCAAAUCUUGACAUCCUUUGACAACUCUAGAGAUAGAGCCUUCCCCUUCGGGGGACAAAGUGACAGGUGGUGCAUGGUUGUCGUCAGCUCGUGUCGUGAGAUGUUGGGUUAAGUCCCGCAACGAGCGCAACCCUUAAGCUUAGUUGCCAUCAUUAAGUUGGGCACUCUAAGUUGACUGCCGGUGACAAACCGGAGGAAGGUGGGGAUGACGUCAAAUCAUCAUGCCCCUUAUGAUUUGGGCUACACACGUGCUACAAUGGACAAUACAAAGGGCAGCGAAACCGCGAGGUCAAGCAAAUCCCAUAAAGUCGUUCUCAGUUCGGAUUGUAGUCUGCAACUCGACUACAUGAAGCUGGAAUCGCUAGUAAUCGUAGAUCAGCAUGCUACGGUGAAUACGUUCCCGGGUCU